rnacentral:misc_RNA from 1 species
UCGCUCUGCGGAGAGGCUGGCAGAUCGAGCCCUGGGAGGUUCUCUCCAGCACUAGCAGGUAGAGCCUGGGUGUUCCCUGCUAGACUCUCACCAGUACUUGGCCGGUACUGGGCAGACGGCUCCACGCUUGCUUGCUUAAAGACCUCUUAAUAAAGCUGCCAGUUAGAAGCAAGUUAAGUGUGUGUUCCCAUCUCUCCUAGUCGCCGCCUGGUCAUUCGGUGUUCACCUAAGUGACAAGACCCUGGUCUGUUAGGACCCUUCUUGCUUUGGGGAACCGAAGCGGGAAAAUACCUAGCAGAUUGGCGCCCGAACAGGACUUGAAGGAGACUGGAACACGGCUGAGUGAAGGCAGUAAGGGCGGCAGGAACAAACCACGACGGAGUGCUCCUAGAAAGGCGCGGGCCGAGGUACCAAAGGCGGCGUGUGGAGCGGGAGUAAAGAGGCCUCCGGGUGAAGGUAAGUACCUACACCAAAAACUGUAGCCAGAAAAAGGCUUGUUAUCCUACCUUUAGACAGGUAGAAGAUUGUGGGAGAUGGGCGCGAGAAGCUCCGUCUUGAGAGGGAAAAAAGUAGAUGAAUUAGAAAAAAUUAGGUUACGGCCCGGCGGGAAGAAAAAAUAUAGACUAAAGCAUAUUGUGUGGGCAGCGAAUGAAUUGGGCAAAUUCGGAUUGGCAGAAAGCCUGUUGGAGUCAAAAGAAGGUUGCCAAAAAAUUAUUACAGUUUUAGAUCCAUUAGUGCCAACAGGAUCAGAAAAUUUAAAAAGCCUUUUUAAUACUGUCUGCGUCAUUUGGUGCUUGCACGCAGAAGAGAAAGUGAAAGAUACUGAAGGAGCAAAACAAAUAGUACAGAGACAUCUAGUGGCAGAAACAGGAACUGCAGACAAAAUGCCAAGCACAAGUAGACCAGCAGCACCACCUAGCGGGAGAGGGGGAAAUUACCCCGUGCAACAAAUAGCUGGCAACUAUUCCCAUGUGCCGUUGAGCCCCCGAACCCUAAAUGCUUGGGUAAAGUUAGUGGAAGAAAAGAAGUUCGGGGCAGAAGUAGUGCCAGGGUUUCAGGCACUCUCAGAAGGCUGCACGCCCUAUGAUAUUAAUCAAAUGCUUAAUUGUGUGGGCGACCAUCAAGCAGCUAUGCAAAUAAUCAGAGAGAUUAUUAAUGAAGAAGCAGCAGAUUGGGAUGUGCAACACCCAAUACCAGGCCCCUUGCCAGCGGGGCAGCUUAGAGAACCAAGAGGGUCUGAUAUAGCAGGGACAACAAGCACAGUAGAAGAACAGAUCCAGUGGAUGUUUAGAGCACAAAAUCCUAUACCAGUAGGGAACAUCUAUAGGAGAUGGAUCCAGAUAGGACUGCAGAAGUGCGUCAGGAUGUACAAUCCAACCAACAUCCUAGACGUAAAACAGGGACCAAAGGAGCCGUUCCAAAGCUAUGUAGAUAGAUUCUACAAAAGCCUAAGGGCAGAACAAACAGACCCAGCAGUAAAAAAUUGGAUGACCCAAACACUGCUGGUACAGAAUGCCAACCCAGACUGUAAAUUAGUACUAAAAGGACUGGGGAUGAAUCCUACCUUAGAGGAGAUGCUGACCGCCUGUCAGGGAAUAGGAGGACCAGGCCAGAAAGCCAGAUUAAUGGCAGAAGCCUUAAAGGAGGCCCUAGCACCAGCCCCUAUCCCAUUUGCAGCAGCCCAACAGAGAAGGACAAUUAAGUGCUGGAAUUGUGGAAAGGAUGGGCACUCGGCAAGACAAUGCCGAGCACCUAGAAGACAGGGCUGCUGGAAAUGUGGCAAAUCAGGACAUGUCAUGGCAAACUGCCCAGAAAGACAGGCUGGUUUUUUAGGGAUUGGCCCAUGGGGAAAGAAGCCUCGCAACUUCCCCGUGACCCGAGUCCCGCAGGGGCUGACACCAACAGCACCCCCAGCAGACCCAGCAGCAGACCUGCUAGAGAAGUACUUGCAGCAAGGGAGGAAGCAGAAAGAGCAGAAAAUGAGACCAUACAAGGAGGUGACAGAGGACUUACUGCACCUCGAACAAGGAGAGACACCACACAAAGAGGCGACAGAGGAUUUGCUGCACCUCAAUUCUCUCUUUGGAAAAGACCAGUAGUCACAGCAUAUGUUGAGGGUCAGCCAGUAGAAGUCUUACUAGACACAGGGGCUGACGACUCAAUAGUAGCAGGAAUAGAGUUGGGGAGCAAUUAUAGUCCAAAAAUAGUAGGGGGAAUAGGGGGAUUCAUAAACACCAAGGAAUAUAAAAAUGUAGAAAUAAAAGUACUAAAUAAAAAGGUAAAAGCCACCAUAAUGACAGGUGAUACCCCAAUCAACAUUUUUGGCAGAAACAUUCUGACAGCCUUAGGCAUGUCAUUAAAUCUACCAGUCGCCAAGGUAGACCCGAUAAAAGUAAUACUGAAACCAGGAAAAGAUGGACCAAAAGUAAGACAAUGGCCUCUAACAAAAGAAAAGAUAGAGGCACUAAAAGAAAUCUGUGAAAAAAUGGAAAGAGAAGGCCAGCUAGAGGAAGCUCCCCCAACUAAUCCUUAUAAUACCCCCACAUUUGCAAUUAAGAAAAAGGACAAAAACAAAUGGAGAAUGCUAAUAGAUUUUAGAGAACUAAAUAAGGUAACUCAAGAGUUCACAGAAAUUCAGUUAGGAAUUCCACACCCAGCAGGAUUAGCCAAGAAAAGAAGAAUUACUGUACUAGAUAUAGGGGAUGCCUACUUUUCCAUACCACUACAUGAGGACUUUAGACAAUAUACUGCAUUUACUCUACCAACAGUGAACAAUGCAGAACCAGGAAAGAGAUAUAUAUAUAAAGUCCUACCACAGGGAUGGAAAGGAUCGCCAGCAAUUUUUCAACACACAAUGAGGCAGGUCUUAGAGCCAUUCAGAAAAGCAAACCCAGACGUCAUUCUCGUCCAAUAUAUGGAUGAUAUCUUAAUAGCUAGCGACAGGACAGACUUAGAGCAUGACAGAACGGUCCUGCAGUUAAAAGAACUUUUAAAUGGCCUAGGAUUCUCCACCCCAGAUGAGAAGUUCCAAAAAGACCCCCCAUACAAAUGGAUGGGCUAUGAACUAUGGCCAACCAAAUGGAAGCUGCAAAAAAUACAAUUGCCCCAAAAAGAAGUAUGGACAGUCAAUGACAUCCAAAAGCUAGUAGGUGUCCUAAAUUGGGCAGCACAAAUCUACCCAGGGAUAAAGACCAAACACUUAUGUAGGCUAAUUAGAGGAAAAAUGACACUCACGGAAGAAGUACAGUGGACAGAACUAGCAGAGGCAGAACUAGAAGAGAACAAAAUUAUCUUGAGCCAGGAACAGGAGGGAUGCUAUUACCAAGAAGAAAAGGAAUUAGAAGCAACAGUCCAAAAGGAUCAAGACAAUCAGUGGACAUAUAAAAUACACCAAGGAGAGAAAAUCCUAAAAGUAGGAAAAUAUGCAAAGAUAAAAAAUACCCAUACCAAUGGGGUCAGAUUGUUAGCACAUGUAGUUCAAAAAAUAGGAAAAGAAGCACUAGUCAUUUGGGGACGAAUACCAAAAUUUCACCUACCAGUAGAAAGAGAAACCUGGGAGCAGUGGUGGGAUAACUAUUGGCAAGUGACAUGGAUCCCAGACUGGGACUUCGUAUCUACUCCACCACUGGUCAGGUUAGCAUUUAACCUAGUAAAAGAUCCCAUACCAGGUGAAGAGACCUUCUACACAGAUGGAUCCUGUAAUAGGCAAUCAAAAGAGGGAAAAGCAGGAUAUAUAACAGAUAGAGGGAGAGACAAGGUAAGGAUAUUGGAGCAAACUACCAAUCAGCAAGCAGAAUUAGAAGCCUUCGCAAUGGCAUUAACAGACUCAGGUCCAAAAGCCAAUAUUAUAGUAGACUCACAGUAUGUAAUGGGAAUAGUAGCGGGCCAGCCAACAGAAUCAGAGAGUAAACUAGUAAACCAAAUCAUAGAAGAAAUGAUAAAAAAGGAAACACUCUAUGUUGCAUGGGUCCCAGCCCACAAAGGCAUAGGAGGAAAUCAGGAAGUAGAUCAUUUAGUAAGUCAGGGCAUUAGACAAGUAUUAUUCCUAGAAAAAAUAGAGCCCGCUCAGGAAGAACAUGAGAAAUAUCAUAGCAAUGUAAAAGAAUUAUCCCAUAAAUUUGGACUGCCCAAACUAGUGGCAAGACAAAUAGUAAACACAUGUGCCCAAUGUCAACAGAAAGGGGAAGCUAUACAUGGGCAAGUAGAUGCAGAACUGGGCACUUGGCAAAUGGACUGCACACACUUAGAGGGAAAAAUCAUUAUAGUAGCAGUACAUGUUGCAAGCGGGUUUAUAGAAGCAGAAGUUAUCCCACAGGAAACGGGAAGGCAAACAGCACUCUUCCUAUUAAAACUGGCCAGUAGGUGGCCAAUAACACACCUGCACACAGAUAAUGGUGCCAACUUCACCUCACAGGAAGUAAAGAUGGUAGCGUGGUGGACAGGUAUAGAACAAUCCUUUGGAGUACCUUACAAUCCACAAAGCCAAGGAGUAGUAGAAGCAAUGAAUCACCACUUAAAAAACCAGAUAAGCAGAAUUAGAGAGCAGGCAAAUACAAUGGAAACAAUAGUAUUAAUGGCAGUUCAUUGCAUGAAUUUUAAAAGAAGGGGAGGAAUAGGGGAUAUGACCCCAGCAGAAAGACUAAUCAAUAUGAUCACCACAGAACAAGAAAUACAAUUCCUCCACGCAAAAAAUUCAAAAUUAAAAAAUUUCCGGGUCUAUUUCAGAGAAGGCAGAGAUCAGCUGUGGAAAGGACCUGGGGAACUACUGUGGAAGGGAGAUGGAGCAGUCAUAGUCAAGGUAGGGACAGACAUAAAAAUAGUGCCAAGAAGGAAAGCUAAGAUCAUCAGAGACUAUGGAGGAAGGCGAGAGGUGGAUAGUAGUUCCCACUUGGAGGGUACCAGGGAGGAUGGAGAAGUGGCAUAGCCUUGUCAAGUAUCUAAAACACAGAACAAAAGAUCUGGAAGGGGUGUGCUAUGUUCCCCACCAUAAGGUGGGAUGGGCAUGGUGGACUUGCAGCAGGGUAAUAUUCCCAUUACAAGGAAAUAGUCACCUAGAGAUACAGGCAUAUUGGAACCUAACACCAGAAAAAGGAUGGCUCUCCUCUUAUGCAGUAAGAAUAACCUGGUAUACAGAGAGGUUCUGGACAGAUGUUACCCCAGACUGUGCAGACUCCCUAAUACAUAGCACUUAUUUCUCUUGUUUUACGGCGGGUGAAGUAAGAAGAGCCAUCAGAGGGGAAAAGUUACUGUCCUGCUGCAAUUACCCCCAAGCCCAUAGAUCUAAGGUACCGUUACUCCAAUUUCUGGCCUUAGUAGUAGUGCAACAAAAUGGCAGACCCCAGAAAAACAGUACCACCAGGAAACGGUGGCGAAGUAACUAUUGGAGAGGCUUUCGCUUGGCUAGAAAGGAUGGUAGAGGCCAUAAACAGAGAGGCAGUGAACCACCUGCCUCGGGAGCUUAUUUUCCAGGUGUGGCAAAGGUCCUGGAGAUACUGGCAUGAUGACCUAGGGAUGUCACAAAGUUACACAAAGUAUAGAUAUUUGCGCUUAAUGCAGUAUGCUAUGUUCAUACAUGUUAAGAAAGGGUGCACUUGCCUGGGGGGAGGACAUGGGCCGGGAGGGUGGAGACCAGGACCUCCCCCUCCUCCCCCAGGCCUAGUCUAAUGACUGAAGCACCAGCAGAGUUUCCCCCGGAGGAUGAAACCCCACCGAGGGGGCCAGGGGAUGAGUGGGUAAUAGGAAUCCUGAGAGAAUUAAGAGAAGAAGCUUUAAAGCAUUUUGACCCUCGCUUGCUAACUACUCUUGGCAACUAUAUCUGUGCUAGACAUGGAGACACCCUCGAAAGCGCCAGAGAGCUCAUUAAUGUCCUGCAACGAGCCCUCUUCGUGCACUUCAGAGCAGGAUGUAAAAUCUCAAGAAUUGGCCAAACAAGGGGAGAGACUCCUUUCUCAGCUAUACCAACCCCUAGAGGCAUGCAAUAACCCAUGUUAUUGUAAGAAAUGUUGUUACCAUUGCCAGCUAUGUUUUUUAAAAAAGGGACUCGGGAUAUGUUAUGAACGGAAGGGCAGACGAAGAAGGACUCCAAAGAAAGCAAAGGCUCAUUCGUCUUCUGCAUCAGACAAGUGAGUAUAAUGGAUAGUAGAAAUCAGCUAAUUGUUGCCAUUUUACUAACUAGUGCUUGCUUAAUAUAUUGCGCCCAAUAUGUGACUGUUUUCUAUGGCAUACCCGCGUGGAAGAAUGCAUCCAUUCCCCUCUUUUGUGCAACCAGAAAUAGAGAUACUUGGGGAACCAUACAGUGCUUGCCAGACAAUGAUGAUUAUCAGGAAAUACCUUUAAAUGUGACAGAGGCUUUUGACGCAUGGAACAAUACAGUAACAGAACAAGCAGUAGAAGAUGUCUGGAAUCUAUUUGAGACAUCAGUAAAACCAUGUGUCAAAUUAACACCCUUAUGUGUGCAAAUGGAAUGUAACAGCACAAGUACAGAGAGCAGUAACAGCACAAGUGAGGGGAGCACAGUCCCAGAGAUAUUAAACGAAACUACUUCAUGCAUAACCAACAACAGCUGCUCAGAUUUAGGGAGUGAAGAGGUAGUCGAUUGUCGGUUCAAUAUGACAGGACUACAACUAGAUAAGCCACAGCAAUAUAGUGAAACAUGGUACUCAAAGGAUGUAGUUUGUGACACAACUAAUGGGACCAGCCGCAAAUGUUACAUGAACCAUUGCAACACAUCAGUCAUCACAGAGUCAUGUGAUAAGCACUAUUGGGAUGCUAUGAGGUUUAGAUACUGUGCACCACCGGGUUUAUGCUUGCUAAGAUGCAAUGAUACCAAUUAUUCAGGCUUUGAGCCCAAGUGUCCUAAAGUAGUAGCUGCUACAUGCACAAGAAUGAUGGAAACGCAAACUUCUACUUGGUUUGGCUUUAAUGGCACUAGGGCAGAAAAUAGAACAUAUAUCUAUUGGCAUGGUAGAGAUAAUAGGACUAUUAUCAGCUUAAAUACACAUUAUAAUCUCACAAUGCAUUGUAAGAGGCCAGGAAAUAAGUCAGUUUUGCCAAUAACACUUAGGUCAGGGAGAGUGUUUCACUCCCGACCGAUCAUCAAUGAAAGACCCAAGCAGGCAUGGUGCUGGUUCGGAGGUGAUUGGAAGAAAGCCAUGCAGGAGGUGAAACAAACCCUUGUGAAACAUCCCAGGUAUAGAGGAACCAACGACACACAGAAAAUUAACUUUACACAACCAGGAAAAGGUUCAGAUGCAGAAGUGGUAUACAUGUGGACUAACUGCAGAGGAGAAUUUCUAUACUGCAACAUGACUCGGUUCCUCAAUUGGAUAGAAAACAGGGCACACCCACAGCGCAAUUAUGCACCGUGCCAUAUAAGGCAAAUAAUUAAUACCUGGCAUAGAGUAGGCCAAAAUAUAUAUUUGCCUCCUAGGGAAGGGGAAUUGGUCUGCAACUCAACAGUAACCAGCAUAAUUGCUAACAUUGACAUGUUUGAUAACCAGACAAGCAUUACCUUUAGUGCAGAGGUGGCAGAACUAUACCGAUUGGAAUUGGGAGAUUACAAAUUAGUAGAAAUAACACCAAUUGGCUUCGCACCUACAUCAGAAAAAAGGUAUUCCUCUGCUCCACAGAGGAAUAAAAGAGGUGUGUUUGUGCUAGGAGUCUUGGGUUUUCUCGCAACAGCAGGUUCUGCAAUGGGCGCGGCGUCCUUGACGCUGUCGGCUCAUCCCGGACUUUACUGGGCUGGGAUAGUGCAGCAACAGCAACAGCUGUUGGACGUGGUCAAGAGACAACAAGAAAUGUUGCGACUGACCGUCUGGGGAACAAAAAAUCUCCAGACAAGAGUCACUGCUAUCGAGAAAUACCUAAGGGACCAGGCGCGGCUAAAUUCAUGGGGAUGUGCAUUUAGACAAGUCUGCUACACCACUGUACUAUGGGAAAAUAACAGCAUAGUACCUGAUUGGAACAACAUGACGUGGCAGGAAUGGGAACAACAAACCCGCGACCUAGAGGCAAAUAUCAGUAGAUCGUUAGAGCAGGCACAAAUCCAACAAGAGAAAAAUAUGUAUGAGCUACAAAAAUUAAAUAGCUGGGAUGUUUUUGGCAACUGGUUUGAUUUAACCUCCUGGAUUAAGUAUAUUCAGUAUGGAGUUUAUGUAAUAAUAGGAAUAAUAGCUUUAAGAAUAGUAAUAUAUGUAGUACAAUUACUAAGUAGACUUAGAAAGGGCUAUAGGCCUGUUUUCUCUUCCCCCCCCGGUUAUAUCCAACAGAUCCAUAUCCACAAGGACUGGGAACAGCCAGACAGAGAAGAAACAGACGAAGACGCCGGAAACAGCAUUGGAGACAGCUCGUGGCCUUGGCCAAUAGCAUAUAUACAUUUCCUGAUCCGCCAGCUGAUUCGCCUCUUGACCGGGCUAUACAGCGUCUGCAAGGACUUACUAUCCAGGAGCUUCCCGACCCUCCAACUAAUCUUCCAGAGUCUUCAGAGAGCACUAACAACAAUCAGGGACUGGCUGAGACUUACAAUAGCCUACCUGCAAUAUGGGUGCGAGUGGAUCCAAGAAGUGCUCCAGGUCCUUGCAAGGACUACGAGAGAGACUCUUGCGAGCGCGUGGAGAGACUUGUGGGGGGCAAUGGGACGGAUCGGCAGGGGAAUACUUGCAGUUCCAAGAAGGAUCAGGCAGGGGGCAGAACUUGCCCUCCUGUGAGGGGCAGCGGUAUCAACAGGGAGACUUUAUGAACACCCCAUGGAGAACUCCAGCAGCAGGAAGGGAGGGAACAUUGUACAAGCAACAAAAUAUGGAUGAUGUAGAUGCAGAUAAUGAUAACCUAAUAGGGGUCCCUGUCACACCAAGAGUACCAUUAAGGGCAAUGACAUAUAAGUUGGCAGUAGAUAUAUCACAUUUUCUAAAUGAAAAGGGGGGACUGGAUGGGAUGUAUUACAGUGAGAGAAGACAUAGAAUCUUAGACAUAUACAUGGAAAAGGAAGAAGGGAUAAUUCCAGAUUGGCAGAACUAUACUCAUGGGCCAGGAGUAAGGUACCCAAAGUUCUUUGGGUGGCUAUGGAAGCUAGUACCAGUAGACGUCCCACAAGGUGAAGAGGACCACUGCUUACUACACCCAGCACAAACAAGCGGGUCUGAUGACCCUCAUGGGGAAACAUUAAUGUGGAGGUUUGACCCUAGGCUGGCCUAUGAGUAUACGGCUUUUAAUCGAUACCCAGAAGAAUUUGGGUAUAAGUCAGGCCUGCCAGAAGAAGAGUGGAAGGCAAAACUGAAAGCAAGAGGGAUACCAUUUAGUUAAAGACAGGAACAGCUAUAUUUGGUCAGAACAGGAAGUAGAUGAUGAAACUGCAGGGACUUUCCAGAAGGGGCUGUAACCAGGGGAGGGACGUGGGAGGAACCGGUGGGGAACGCCCUCAUACUUCUGUAUAAAUGUACCCGCUGCUUGCAUUGUAUUCAGUCGCUCUGCGGAGAGGCUGGCAGAUCGAGCCCUGGGAGGUUCUCUCCAGCACUAGCAGGUAGAGCCUGGGUGUUCCCUGCUAGACUCUCACCAGUACUUGGCCGGUACUGGGCAGACGGCUCCACGCUUGCUUGCUUAAAGACCUCUUAAUAAAGCUGCCAGU